UCUAUUGCAGAUUACCCCGCCAUAGCAAACUCCGAAUACCGAAGAGUGCAAUCACGGGAGACAGACAUCGGGUGCUAACGUCCGGUGUCAAGAGGGAAACAACCCAGACCGCCAGCUAAGGUCCCCAAAUAUAGCUAAGUGGGAAACGAAGUGGGAAGGCUAAAACAGUCAGGAGGUUGGCUUAGAAGCAGCCACCCUUUAAAGAAAGCGUAAUAGCUCACUGAUCGAGUCGUCCUGCGCGGAAGAUGUAACGGGGCUAAGCUAUAUACCGAAGCUGCGGAUGCGUGCUUAGCACGCAUGGUAGGAGAGCGUUCCGUAAGCCUGCGAAGGUGCCUUGUAAAGGGUGCUGGAGGUAUCGGAAGUGCGAAUGCUGACAUGAGUAGCGAUAAAGGGGGUGAAAGGCCCCCUCGCCGUAAGCCCAAGGUUUCCUACGCAACGUUCAUCGGCGUAGGGUGAGUCGGCCCCUAAGGCGAGGCAGAAAUGCGUAGCUGAUGGGAAGCAGGUCAAUAUUCCUGCACCAUUGUUAGAUGCGAUGGGGGGACGGAUCGCGGAAGGUUGUCCGGGUGUUGGAAGUCCCGGUCGCUGCAUUGGAGAAGGCGCUUAGGCAAAUCCGGGCGCGGAAUUCAAGGGUGUGGCGCGAGCUCCUUAGGGAGCGAAGCAAUUGGAAGUGGUUCCAAGAAAAGCCUCUAAGCUUCAGUCUAACGAUGACCGUACCGCAAACCGACACAGGUGGGCGAGAUGAGUAUUCUAAGGCGCUUGAGAGAACUCGGGAGAAGGAACUCGGCAAAUUGGUACCGUAACUUCGGGAUAAGGUACGCCCUUGUAGCUUGACUGGCUUGCGCCAGAAGGGUGAAGGGGUUGCAAUAAACUGGUGGCUGCGACUGUUUAAUAAAAACACAGCACUCUGCAAACACGAAAGUGGACGUAUAGGGUGUGACGCCUGCCCGGUGCCGGAAGAUUAAAUGAUGGGGUGCAAGCUCUUGAUUGAAGUCCCGGUAAACGGCGGCCGUAACUAUAACGGUCCUAAGGUAGCGAAAUUCCUUGUCGGGUAAGUUCCGACCUGCACGAAUGGCGUAACGAUGGCCACACUGUCUCCUCCCGAGACUCAGCGAAGUUGAAGUGUUUGUGAUGAUGCAAUCUACCCGCGGCUAGACGGAAAGACCCCAUGAACCUUUACUGUAGCUUUGCAUUGGACUUUGAACCGAUCUGUGUAGGAUAGGUGGGAGGCUAUGAAACCGGAACGCUAGUUUCGGUGGAGCCGUCCUUGAAAUACCACCCUGGUUUGUUUGAGGUUCUAACCUUGGCCCGUGAUCCGGGUCGGGGACAGUGCAUGGUAGGCAGUUUGACUGGGGCGGUCUCCUCCCAAAGCGUAACGGAGGAGUACGAAGGUACGCUAGGUACGGUCGGAAAUCGUGCUGAUAGUGCAAUGGCAUAAGCGUGCUUAACUGCGAGACCGACAAGUCGAGCAGGUGCGAAAGCAGGUCAUAGUGAUCCGGUGGUUCUGUAUGGAAGGGCCAUCGCUCAACGGAUAAAAGGUACUCUGGGGAUAACAGGCUGAUACCGCCCAAGAGUUCAUAUCGACGGCGGUGUUUGGCACCUCGAUGUCGGCUCAUCUCAUCCUGGGGCUGUAGCCGGUCCCAAGGGUAUGGCUGUUCGCCAUUUAAAGAGGUACGUGAGCUGGGUUUAAAACGUCGUGAGACAGUUUGGUCCCUAUCUGCCGUGGGCGUUGGAUAUUUGAAGGGGGCUGCUCCUAGUACGAGAGGACCGGAGUGGACGAACCUCUGGUGUACCGGUUGUCACGCCAGUGGCAUCGCCGGGUAGCUAUGUUCGGAAGAGAUAACCGCUGAAAGCAUCUAAGCGGGAAACUCGCCUUAAGAUGAGAUAUCCCUGGGGACUAGAUCCCCUUGAAGGGUCGUUCGAGACCAGGACGUUGAUAGGUCAGGUGUGUAAGCGCAGUAAUGCGUUCAGCUAACUGAUACUAAUUGCCCGUAAGGCUUGAUCCUAUAACA
rnacentral:rRNA from 1 species